AUUGAACGCUGGCGGCAGGCCUAACACAUGCAAGUCGAGCGGCAGCGGGACCUUCGGGUUGCCGGCGAGCGGCGGACGGGUGAGUAAUGCCUAGGAAUCUGCCUGUUAGUGGGGGAUAACGCGGGGAAACUCGCGCUAAUACCGCAUACGUCCUACGGGAGAAAGCGGGGGCUCUUCGGACCUCGCGCUAACAGAUGAGCCUAGGUCGGAUUAGCUGGUUGGUGGGGUAAUGGCCCACCAAGGCGACGAUCCGUAACUGGUCUGAGAGGAUGAUCAGUCACACUGGAACUGAGACACGGUCCAGACUCCUACGGGAGGCAGCAGUGGGGAAUAUUGGACAAUGGGCGAAAGCCUGAUCCAGCCAUGCCGCGUGUGUGAAGAAGGUCUUCGGAUUGUAAAGCACUUUAAGUCGGGAGGAAGGGCUGUAGGCUAAUACCUUGCAGUUUUGACGUUACCGACAGAAUAAGCACCGGCUAACUUCGUGCCAGCAGCCGCGGUAA
rnacentral:rRNA from 1 species